rnacentral:lncRNA from 1 species
UACCUGUAUUAUGGUUAGAUUAUUUAAACUACAAUUGUUUAAUCAUUGAUUAUAGAUUUAGCUUUUACUGUACAAUCAAGAAAGUAUUAAUACUUGAAAUUGUUAACACAUUCAAUUUUUUAGAUGUUAAAUGUACAAAUAUUUCUUUUUAUUAAAAAUCAACUUAUUAUAUAUGGUAUUUAUUCAUGCACUGAUAGAAAUAUUAUUAACUAAUUAUUGCAUCAUCCAGAAGUACACCAUUGUUUGCCAAAACUUGCUAAUUGUAAUUACUCUUUUUUAUAUCUUCAAUACCACCAAUAAUUCAUGCAUAAGUGAAAAUCACUAUUCAAAAAGUCUCAACUUUGUUAAAUUGUGUUUUUGAUUUCUCAACAAUAGUUUUUGGAUGAGGAAGAUCCAAUUAUUACAUAUACAUGUCAACCUAAUUCUACAAGUAAGUUAUUGUGAAAUAAUACUUUACAUUUUUCAAUCCAACAAGCCCAUAAUUGUUAACAUACAACCUUAAAACUUCUAGAAACAACUAUCUUUUUGGCAAUAAAAAAAAAUAUAUAUAUAUACAUACAUAUAUUAAAAUAUUACUUAACAAAAAAAUUUAUUGAUUUAUUUAUUUAUUAUUGAUGAUAUUAAGUGAAAACUCAUCUCCCAGCAAUAUGUUUUACUUACAACUCAUUGCAAUUUAAGUUUCUGGUAAUGUUGUUCUUUGUGUUUCUCCUUUUCAACUUUCCAUACAACAUCAUAUAAAGGUAGAAUUAAAAUUUCAAAUGUAAUAUCCAUACCCAUGAGUAUAACAAAAAAAAAAAAAAAAAAAAAAAAAAAGUCUGUGCCUGUGAAUUGAUAUACCUAAGCAUUUGAUUUCUGCCUUCUUACUAGAAAGUCCAAGAUUCUUAUGAAGCACAUGAGCAUUCUUUAUUUCAAUUAGUUACCAGAAUUGAGUGAACAUGAGAUUAAGUCCAGCCACUCUAAUUAUACACCAGUAUCCCAUUUAAUAUUGAAUGUCACAUCCACAUUAAAUAUGGUGUUUUUUGUGCAUGUUGACGAAAGAAAAACAAGGCUGUGAAGUGUCAACAAGGUGCAUGCCCCAGUGUAGGAUUAGGGUUAGGGUUAGGGCUAGAAUUCUAACCAAACAAAGUUGUGCCAUCACAUUCAAUGAAACCAUGUUUGUCAAUGCAGUUGAAUAUGCAUAAACUCAGCAGCAUUGGAUAAAAAGAAAUGGAAGUUCCAACAGCAGUUGCUUGUUCUUUUUAAGUCCAUUCCAUGGAGCUUCUUCUUCUUUUCUAUUUGUAGUGUUUUGUUUUUCAGAAGCCAAAAGGUGGGCAGUCAGAGAUGUCACACUCCAUUCUAGGGAUCACACAAAUGAGCUAAAAACAACAUGCUGGGAUCAAAUAGUAGAUAGACAUCAACCUAAUACCAGAACACUUUAUUACGGACAAAAAAAUAAACCAUGUUUUUGCAAAGCUCACUGGUGAGUGUUAAGUACAAAGAAGGGAGGGAAGCACAAGAAUCCAAUGUUGGCUCUCCAUGUAUGCAACAAUUUUUUUUUCUAAAAUGAAAUGAAAUAUUAAAGAAUGUAAUUAAAAAAAAAAUAGACACUUUCAUGGGUUUUGUUCCUCUGCAUGAGAUUGGCUUUUUCACAAUUUGGAUUUGUGGGGUACUGACAGAACAGUCUAACCUCCUUCUUUUAACUUUGGAUUCAUAUCCGGACAAAUUAUAAUGUAGAAAAAACAUCCCAAGCCUAUGCUCCUCUAUUUUUUAGAUGUUUUGUGCAGUUCACACAUGACAUUACCUAACAAGAGAAGAGAGACAAUGUGAUCUAGGGUUUGAAUGAAUUUAAUUUGAAAAAAAAAAGUUUGAUUGUCUACUUAUAAUGGAACAUUCAUUUUGAGUGAUCAUGUUAAAAAUUAGAGAAUAUAAGAAAAUGGGAUUAAAUUUCAUGUUUAUUAUUACUGGGUAUGUGUGUGUUUGGGGGAAGGGGAGAGGAUGUGAAAUAAUAUUUGCCAAUUUACCACUUUGUUCAAAGUUAUGGAAAAUUCCACUCAACUGUUUGUUAUGAUAUCUGUUUGUUUCAUGAUUUGACAUGUCCAUGUUUUUAGUUUUUUUUUCUCCCCAUCUCAUCUUGUAAAA